rnacentral:rRNA from 1 species
CCUACGGGAGGCAGCAGUGGGGAAUAUUGCACAAUGGGGGAAACCCUGAUGCAGCGACGCCGCGUGAGUGAAGAAGUACCUCGGUACGUAAAGCACUAUCAGCAGGGAAGAUAAUGAUGGUACCUGUCCAAGAAGUCCCGGCGAACUACGUGCCAGCAGCCGCGGUAAUACGUAGGGGGCACGCGUUAUCCAGAUUUACUGGGGGUAAAGGGAGCGUAAACGGGAGAACAAGUCUGGAGUGAAAUCCGCGGGCUUAACCCCGGAACUGCUGUGGAAACUGGGCGGCUGGAGUGCAGGAGGGGUAAGCGGAAUUCCUGGUGUAGCGGUGAAAUGCGUAGAUAUUAGGAGGAACACCGGUGGCGAAGGCGGCAUACUGGACUGUAACUGACGUUGAGGCUCGAAAGCGUGGGGAGCAAACAGGAUUAGAUACCCUAGUAGUC